rnacentral:rRNA from 1 species
AGUGAACGCUGGCGGUAGGCCUAACACAUGCAAGUCGAACGGCCGCACAGUAAGAGCUUGCUCUUACGGGUGGCGAGUGGCGGACGGGUGAGGAAUACAUCGGAAUCUACUUUUUCGUGGGGGAUAACGUAGGGAAACUUACGCUAAUACCGCAUACGACCUACGGGUGAAAGCAGGGGAUCUUCGGACCUUUCGCGAUUGAAUGAGCCGAUGUCGGAUUAGCUAGUUGGCGGGGUAAAGGCCCACCAAGGCGACGAUCCGUAGCUGGUCUGAGAGGAUGAUCAGCCACACUGGAACUGAGACACGGUCCAGACUCCUACGGGAGGCAGCAGUUGGGAAUAUUGGACAAUGGGCGCAAGCCUGAUCCAGCCAUACCGCGUGGGUGAAGAAGGCCUUCGGGUUGUAAAGCCCUUUUGUUGGGAAAGAAAAGCAGCAGGUUAAUACCCCGCUGUUCUGACGGUACCCAAAGAAUAAGCACCGGCUAACUUCGUG